rfam:Hordeum vulgare subsp. vulgare, WGS project CAJW01000000 data, contig: morex_contig_1562673
UUAAUACUUCGUUCGUCCGAAAAUGCUUGUCUUAGAAAUAGAUGUAUCUAGACUUAUUUUAGUUAUAGAUACAUCCAUUUUAUAUAUUUUUGGACAAGUAUUUUCGGAUUGAGGGAGUAUAUU